CCCGAGGUGCGGAGGUGAGGCCGGCACCGGGAUCCGGGCCCGGAGAUUCGGGUCCGGGUCCURUCGGUGUCUGCUGGGGGUCCCGGGCAGUGCCGCCUCUUCCCCGGCGAGCGGGGAGCAGGUUCUGGGGCCGGAGGAGCGGGGAGAGGGGACUUGGAUGGCCGCGGGGAGCUUGGGCUCCACCGGUGGCCGAGUCAUUUCCUCCCGUAGCCUCUGAGUCGCGGCUGGAAUCGAGCCUGGGAAGCCCCACGUUCCGCCGGUGCCAGGACCCUGUUCGGUCACCGCCGCACCCUGCAGGUGAGAGCAGCCCCCGGCUCCCCUCCCCUUCCUCCGUGGCCGCAGCCCCGCGGCGCUCCCGCACCCCGCAUCCCUUGGGAACGAGCGGGGUGGCAUCGCCGCAUCCCUUGGGAACGAGCGGGGUGGCAUCGCCGCCGGAGACAGGAGCUGCUCCGGGUGCUGUGGCCUGGCCCUCUUUGUUUCCAGAUCACAGGAUAUUCUAAUCUGAAAGCAGACUCACAAAGAUUGAACCGCGCUGAACCCCCAAACCUGGCAUUCUCAGCAUUCCUCUCCAUUCAACUACGCCAAUUUUGGGAUCACGGAACGGUCUGGAAUGGGAACGGUUGGUGCCAGCAAGCAUUUUCCCAAUGGCUCAGAAGGUAUAAUAUCGUUUUCCCGAGACAAACAAGCAAAACAAGUUCUGAGGGUUCAGCUGAUCUGCGGCASAAGUGUUUUGGUGCCAGCUAGUCCYACCUGCAGGGGGAUAUUUCCCAUCCAGAGAGCUGUGCCUGAAGUGGUUUUGGGAGUGCCAAGAUGUUCCACUUGUGUUUGGAAAAUUCAAGAUAAUAGAAGGAGAGUGAGCUUUGUUUCUCACAMGGACUCGUGCUGGAGCUGUUGCCCUGUGGAGCCAUUUUAAAGGCUGUCCUGCCCUGGUCGCUGAAGUCCCCAAGGCCUGACACACAGCCCUGGCCAACGUGUCCAGAGUUAUUUCAAUAGACACAGAAGUGAAAUGUGCCAAACUUGCUGUGAACAGGAACCAUUCUUCCUUCAGUUUUAAAUUACCUCUACUGCUGCUGGAUUAGCUAAAGGACAUGACCUCCCUGURAAAUCAGUUUUUAAACAAAAGGCAGCCUCUUGGAGCAGUGCACAGCCAAGCCUGGCUCUGACAACUCUGACASAACAUCCCUUCCAAGUUUGCUUAACAUCACCUUUCAGAGCUUUCACCUGGCACCAUGAGAGAAGAAAAGCAUAAAGAAAGUGCCACAUCCACCCUGAAGUCCUUUUAGCUGAGCAGUGGGGAUUCUGCUCAUACCAGCAGGGAAAUGGCCUGGGAAAGGCUCCAAGAAGCCCAAGGCUUUUCUACACCUCCUGUGUGCAUGGAGGGGGCUACCCCAGAGGAGCCAGGACAUGUUCUCAAUUUACUAGCACGGCUGGGAGAACUUCUCUGUGGGUAAAGUAUAGUUUCAGAUAUGCAGCACAGCACCAAAAUCAUGAUUAAUCUGCUACUAAAAGGAACAGGGUGCUUUAUUAAGUGCWUCCUAGGUCUUGCCAAAGACUUUCUCCAGAGCUGACUUUCAAAACAGCUGGAUUCAGUAGUCUCAGAGGGCUUUUUGAACCUAAUAGUUCUGUGAUUUAUUUAUGUGGAACAGUAAACAAGAUGAAAAAASUCUAAGUCUGAACUGUCACAUCCCCAGUUUUAACAGGCCCAUCAAAUUUGUUAAAAUGGUCACAUGGGGAACACAAGAUCCUCUGGACUGAAAAAUGUCCUUUAAAUAGCCAAAUUAAAGAAAUAGAGGGAAUGUUUAUUUUUGUUAAAAAAUAAGGACUUAAUCCAGCACCCAUUACUUCACUGCGUGCUGGAUCAGCACAYUCACAUGAGCAAUACAUAGUAACCCUCCCUCAGUUUCCUGCUCAGCUCCCUCAUGUUCUUAUGCUCCAACUAUAUUAAUCUAAAGCUGACUUAAAAAAAAAAAAAACAGCCAUAAAACAUCAAGACUUAAUGCAAAUAAAAGCAUUACAAUUUUAAAUAACACUUAGAAAGCAAYGUUAAUUCAAACUGCAAUACUCUUGCCAUCUUCCAGGACAUAAAUAAAAAUGCUGUUACAAAUUAAACAGAAGCUUUUUUAGGUUU